rnacentral:rRNA from 1 species
AACGAACGCUGGCGGCAGGCCUAACACAUGCAAGUCGAGCGCUGUAGCAAUACAGAGCGGCGCACGGGUGAGUAACACGUGGGAACGUGCCCUUUGGUUCGGAACAACCCAGGGAAACUUGGGCUAAUACCGGAUGAGCCCUAACGGGGAAAGAUUUAUCGCCGAAGGAGCGGCCCGCGUCGGAUUAGCUAGUUGGUGGGGUAAAAGCCUACCAAGGCAACGAUCCGUAGCUGGUUUGAGAGAACGACCAGCCACACUGGGACUGAGACACGGCCCAGACUCCUACGGGAGGCAGCAGUGGGGAAUCUUGGACAAUGGGGGAAACCCUGAUCCAGCCAUGCCGCGUGAGUGAUGAAGGCCCUAGGGUUGUAAAACUCUUUCGGCGGGGACGAUAAUGACGGUACCCGCAGAAGAAGCUCCGGCUAACUUCGUGCCAGCAGCCGCGGUAAUACGAAGGGGGCUAGCGUUGUUCGGAAUUACUGGGCGUAAAGCGCGCGCAGGCGGUUCUUCAAGUCAGAGGUGAAAG